rnacentral:rRNA from 1 species
AUUGAACGCUGGCGGCAUGCCUUACACAUGCAAGUCGAACGGUAACAGGCCGCAAGGUGCUGACGAGUGGCGAACGGGUGAGUAAUGCAUCGGAACGUGCCCAGUCGUGGGGGAUAACGCAGCGAAAGCUGUGCUAAUACCGCAUACGAUCUAUGGACGAAAGCGGGGGACCGUAAGGCCUCGCGCGAUUGGAGCGGCCGAUGUCAGAUUAGGUAGUUGGUGGGGUAAAGGCCUACCAAGCCGACGAUCUGUAGCUGGUCUGAGAGGACGACCAGGCACACUGGGACUGAGACACGGCCCAGACUCCUACGGGAGGCAGCAGUGGGGAAUUUUGGACAAUGGGCGCAAGCCUGAUCCAGCAAUGCCGCGUGCAGGAAGAAGGCCUUCGGGUUGUAAACUGCUUUUGUACGGAACGAAACGGUCUGGGUUAAUACCCUGGGCUGAUGACGGUACCGUAAGAAUAAGCACCGGCUAACUACGUGCCAGCCGCCGCGGUAAGAC